CCCUUAGAUGUUCUGGGCCGCACGCGCGCUACACUGAUGCAUUCAACGAGCCUAUCCUUGACCGACAGGUCCGGGUAAUCUUUGAAUCUGCAUCGUGACGGGGAUAGAUUAUUGCAAUUAUUAAUCUUCAACGAGGAAUGCCUAGUAGGCGCAAGUCAUCAGCUUGCGUUGAUUACGUCCCUGCCCUUUGUACACACCGCCCGUCGCUACUACUGAUUGGAUGUUUAAGCGAGGUUCUCGAACUGCUAGCGACUUAGCUUCGGUGAGGUCGCAGUGUGGGAAGUGAACCUAGCUUUGGUGUCUAGAGGAAGUAAAAGUCGUAACA
rnacentral:rRNA from 1 species